AAAGACUUAAUAAAGACGAAAGAACAAUGAAUACCCAAGGACAAGCUCCCGAGGUCUUGGACAUGUCUCUCAACCUCUUCAUCUAAUUCAAAGAUUUAUUGUGCCAUUUUCAUGAAAUAUCGUGUAAAAGGUGCUUUGUAAAAUAACAGGGGCUCACAGCUAAGAAUUUGCCUUGAAUCUCAGAGAAGACUUUGGAUUAGGACUUCUCAGCAGUGCUGGACGGAUAAGAGCUGACUUACCAGUAAAUGACACCAAUGAUAAAGUGACAUUCUCAAAAUGUGUUGCUGUUGAAAAUGUCUUCAUACUUGAAAAAGUUGAAAACCACCAUCCUAUGCCAUAUUGUGUCACUGAUGGUUGGAAAUCUUCCCCUUGUAAGAGCUCUUUGCUGACACCUGAGAGUCUAAGGAUUCCUGAUGCCCAGGACCCACCCCAGGCCAGUUAAGCAAGGAUUACGGGUGUGCGAAGAAAGCUGCUCAAAUGAAUCUAAUGUGAAGCUAGCUGAGAACCAGAUGGCUCAGACUUUGAAGCUGGAGAUGGAUCUCAUAACAAGAUUUUGAAAUAUGCCACGCCACAGGGCUUAGAAGUGAAUUGCCCCUAGGAGCUUCUUUGUCAUCUCAGCCUUCUGCCCCACCACUAUCCCACCACGGUGAUCCCCGUUUUGGUCUCACUCCACGCAUGGUGGAAACCAGGGUUCUGCUUAUCUUCUGUCUUCUCCUGCCUAUUGCGCAUAUCAGUAGAGGAUGCCCGGCACUCCCUGGGCCUCUAAUUUCAUGUAGUUCAUCUAUUAGCUAACCAUACUUCUCUACCUGCAACUGGUUGGAAACGUUUUGUUCAUGCAGAUCCAGAACAGAGUCUAACCCCAGGACGCGGGGAGAAAGGAGGUGUUUGGUCUCAUACCCCGAGGAAGACGGUGUAUUGGAAGCUGCUCCUCGGUGUCUCCUGAUCGUCGGCAGAAACUCAAGUUAUCCCCAAGCAUUACCUUGCUCCCGGGUCUGCCUUUCCUCUGCAGCUCUCGGCUCCUUCCUCCCGGCAGUGCACACGUGGGUGUGUGGAAGUCCCCAGAGAUCUCACGGAAACAGGCCGUUCUGCAGCUCUGCAGUGGAGCGCGACAGUGUGCACGUCCACCGCCUUCCCAGGGGCCAUAACGCAUAAAACAGAUGCAGGUGGAGCUGCUGCGGUUGGAAUGGGGGCUGGGUCCUCCCGGGAGGAACAAACGCUGGCGCUCUACAGAACUCAGUUUGUGAGCUAUCAGGUGAAUCCACAGCCCCGCCACCACACCAAGAAAUCAGAGAACCAUUCCUGAUUUCCUAGAAACAAAGAGUCAAGGCCAGAAUUGAACCAUGGAGGCAAACAAUAUCCCAGUCCCCAGAAAGAAACACACAGUAACAGCACAAAGUUACCUAAAACAACCUGGGUCAAGCCUGCUUCUAAACGCCUGCUGCAUGCUGCUUCUCUGCGCUAUGAGGUGGCGCCUUCUGACGCGAGCCUAAGGCACAGAGAGCUUCAGUAACUUCUCCAUGGUCUCUGCUUAUUCAACGAUGAAGCGAAAGGAUCGGUCUAAUCCAGUGGCGGUGAACCCACGGCAGGUGUCCCACAGAGGACUGUUGGCAUCAUGGAAAGUUCUGAAGGAUUUGCCAUCCCUGGGUUCGUCUGCCCCGUGAUUGGGUUCGUAAGUCCUCUUUGAUGAGGAUAGCUCUAAAAGUUCCCAUCCCGAUGUUGAUGCUUUCUACUUUAGAGAGUUCUUUUUUCUCUUUGCUUCUGCUGCUUUUCCAAGAAGUUGAGAAAUCUGCGGCCCCUUCUCCUGUGGACUGACACUAUUCACCUCGCAGAAUCCAUCUGCGGACAGCAACUGUAGGUCACAGUCCAAGUCGCUCCCCAUUUUCAUCCUUGUAGAGAGUGAACUGCGAUGCGGAACUAUCUUUAGUGCUCAGAGCAGAGCUCUUGGAGGCUGCUCGUGGUAUCGGAGCUCGAGCCAAAUAAAGGUUAUUUCUGGUC